GAUGAACGCUGGCGGCGUGCCUAAUACAUGCAAGUCGAGCGAACAGACGAGGAUCUUGCUCCUCUGACGUUAGCGGCGGACGGGUGAGUAACACGUGGAUAACCUACCUAUAAGACUGGGAUAACUUCGGGAAACCGGAGCUAAUACCGGAUAAUAUAUUGAACCGCAUGGUUGAAUAGUGAAAGACGGUUUUGCUGUAUCUUAUAGAUGGAUCUGCGCCGCAUUAGCUAGUUGGUACGGUAACGGCUUACCAAGGCAACGAUGCGUAGCCGACUUGCAGGGGUGAUCGGCCACACUGGAACGGGAACACGGACAGUACUCCUACGUUAGGCACCAGAAGGGAAUCUUCCGCAAUAGGCGAAAACCUGACAGAGCAACGCCGCGGGAGUGAUGAAGGUCUUCCGUGCGUAAUACGCUGUUAUGAGGGAAGAACAAAUGUGUACGUAACUAUGCACGUCGUGACGGUACCUAAUCAGAAAGCCACGGCUAACUACGUG
rnacentral:rRNA from 1 species